UUGUUUUUUAUGUAGUAUCCUCCUCUCGCAUCCUCCUUAGCUAAGACGAACCCCGCCCACUCGGGGGUUCCCUUCAUCACCCGUGUCUAUGUUUGCGAAACGGUGCAGUCGGCUGUUCCGUCAGCGGACCCCAACACUCGUGCCGUGUUCCCUCCUCUCAAGGGACCCGUCCUGUUUACCAACCUCACGCGGCGUCCACCGCCCGCGUUCCUCGCGUUUCCUCCUUCGCACCAACGCGAAUUAACUUUACGCGUCUCCGAGGUCCUCGUCCUCGUCGGGCAGCGGCUGCGCGGCGGCGUUGGCGAGCUCCGCCUCGUACUGCGCCUGCUCCGCGGGAUCGAUGGUGACCUCGGGCGGGGCGAGGGCUGGGGACUCCACGAACUGGAGGGUGGGGUCGCCCGCGAGCUUGCGCGCGAGGUAGAGGAAGGGCUUCUCGAAGUUGUAGUUGGACUUGGCGG
rnacentral:lncRNA from 1 species